GGCAGAGGGAUUCCCGGUGUAGCGGUGAAAUGCGUAGAUAUCGGGAAGAACACCAGUGGCGAAGGCGCUCUGCUGGGCCAUUACUGACGCUCAUGGACGAAAGCCAGGGGAGCGAAAGGGAUUAGAUACCCCUGUAGUCCUGGCCGUAAACGAUGAACACUAGGUGUCGGGGGAAUCGACCCCUUCGGUGUCGUAGCUAACGCGUUAAGUGUUCCGCCUGGGGAGUACGCACGCAAGUGUGAAACUCAAAGGAAUUGACGGGGGCCCGCACAAGCGGUGGAGUAUGUGGUUUAAUUCGAUGCAACGCGAAGAACCUUACCAGGGUUUGACAUCCUGCGAACCUCUUAGAAAUUUGAGGGUGCCUUCGGGAAUGCAGUGACAGGUGGUGCAUGGCUGUCGUCAGCUCGUGUCGUGAGAUGUUGGGUUAAGUCCCGCAACGAGCGCAACCCACGUUUUUAGUUGCCAGCAUUUAGUUGGGCACUCUAGAAAGACCGCCGGUGAUAAACCGGAGGAAGGUGUGGAUGACGUCAAGUCAUCAUGCCCCUUACACCCUGGGCUACACACGUACUACAAUGCUACGGACAAAGGGCAGCAAACUCGCGAGAGCUAGCAAAUCCCAUAAACCGUGGCUCAGUUCAGAUCGUAGGCUGCAACUCGCCUACGUGAAGUAGGAAUCGCUAGUAAUCGCAGGUCAGCAUACUGCGGUGAAUACGUUCCCGGGCCUUGUACACACCGCCCGUCACACCAUGGAAGUUGGCCAUGCCCGAAGUCGUUACUCCAACCCUUGUGGAGGAGGACGCCGAAAGUGGGGCUAAUGACUGGGGUGAAGUCGUAA
rnacentral:rRNA from 1 species